AUUUCUAUCUUCUUCUCCUUCAUCGUUCUCUCCUCCUAUACCUCUCUAUUCUUCUUUUCUCCUCUCUCGCUUACUCUCUUCCUCUGAUUAUGCAACCCUAGAUCUAUUAGAUUUUAUCAGUUUCGCUUCAGAUUUCAGAUCCAUUAUCUCUUUGUCACCCUCGCUUUCAUCCCCAAAUUUAUCUUAUUCUUCUUCAAUUUGAUGAAAUCUUCAGUCUCCAUCUUCGUCGGUGGUCUGAGAUAGCCUUAAACCAUAAAUUUAAUUUCGGUGGCUGAAACGUAGGUGAAACCCAAACCAUCUUCGUCGCUUGGUUCUUCGUAGCUGAAAGGUUUCUCGAUCAAUUGCUUAAUCCUUCUCCCUCCGACUCCCGUCUUUCUCUUUCUCUCGGCUCCAUAUGUACGAUUUUGUUAGGAUUCACUAGAUUUAUUAGCAAUUGUAGAUGAAUUUGGGUUAGAUUGAUUUAGCAGUGAGAUAAUGAUUUCGAUUUAGAAAGCAAAAAGUCUCCAUCGAGUUCUUCUAAUACAAUGAAUCCUCAAAUACUUCCAGAGCUCUUUUCCAUUUAGUGAGAGUGGCAAGAGAGCAAAGCUCAAGAAAUAACCAAGAGAGGUUUUGGUUUCUAAAUUUGCAAGUUUUGGUUGUCUAAGUCACAAGUUUUGGGUUUCUCUGUGAAGGGACAAAAGGUUAAUACUAGUCCUAGCUAGUAAUUGUACUCUCAUGUGCUUGGAUUCAUUGAGAAAGCAGGAGAUAAAGAAAGGCUUUUGAAGUGGAGUUUGAGUGAUACCUGGAAUGGCAAUCACAAAUGUGGUAACAAUCUCUACGAUCCUGAAGCACAAUGGACUAGCAACAUAGAAGAAGGUGUUAACGUUGUUGA